CAACAGCUAUGUGAAUUGUAUAAACAAGCGUCAAGUAAGCAAGUAGCCAGGCAAGCAGCCAGCUCAGCGUCAGAGUGUUUCUCGCUACAAACGAGUGUGGUUGUCUUAAAAAUACGAAAUUCUAGUCGUGCGACGCUAUGCAGUUACUACAGCAGCGUUUAUGGGAACAAUUUUUCGAAAUAGAAAAUCUUACAAAGGCGAAAAUGUAAAAGAUAUACAUACAUACAUACAUAUUAUAUACACAUAUGUAUAUAGGCAUACAUGUAUGUAUCUAAACGUGUUAGCUGGUAAUUUAAACAUAUCUCUCAAAUGUAUUCACAUAUGCUAAGUAAAAUAGUGUGCAAAUAAAUUUUCUAAAAUAGUUUAUAUUUAAAAUAACAAAAAAAAAAUAUAAAUAAGAAAUUUAAAAAUUGUUGCUAAUAAAAUCGAUUGCAUAAAUUUUAAGUGUAAUUUAAACUUAAGAAUCUCAUUGCUAUCAAGAAAAGCUUGGGAAUUUGUUUAACACCAACUACUUGAGAAUUCAAAUAAAUAUAGAUAAGAAAUCGUUGUUGAAGUUGAAAACAUAAAAAUUAAAAAAAAAUUAUAAAUAAUACGUAGAAAAUAUAAACAUGAAAAAGUUAUAAAAAAUUUAAAAAGUAAAAUCAUUACGAAUAAAAUUUCGAAAAUUCAAAUAAAAAUACUUAUUUGAUUUAAUUUAAAAAAAAAAAAGUUAAAAUAUCAAUUACGAAAGCUAAAAAAAUAUUAAAACAAAUUUUAAUUGUCAACAAUUAUUCAAAGAAAAUUGAAAAAAAAAAACAAAAAAAAAAACUCUCAAACAACUGAAGUGCCAUAAUUUCAUGUGUAGAUUAAUUCAAGCCAACUUCAGCGCCUUUAAAGCGCCAACUGUAUAUAAACACUUGAAAAAAUAAUAUUGUGAGUUUAAGCUAAUUAAAAAAUACUUAUAAUUAAAAAGAUAAAAAAAUAAGCUAAAACAAUUAAAAGUCGCUUAAAGGGAAAAAAUUAAAAUUUGCGAGCUUAAGGCAAAUUAACAAGAAUAAAUAAUUUAAAGUUAAAAAAAAAUUAAAAACUUACAAAUUUGAUUUUAAGAGAGAAAGAACUACUUUAACAAACAUUUUAGGCAGAAAUUUAAUAAUACAAAAAUCACAGCAAUAAGUAUGUGCAAUAUUAUAAAAUAAAUUUAAAAGAAAUUCAAAUUCAAAAUUUUGUGCCAAAGUGAGUGAGAGUCGUAAAAGAAAUUAAUCAAUUUAAAAAUAUUUUCCUAAAAUCAAGCAAAUAGCAAAUGUAAAAAAAAUAUACAAAAAAAGAGCAAAUAUAUUUGAUUGAUGGAUUUUUUAAACAAAAACCUAGCAAACUUUAUUCUGCCAUUAAAAACUGAAUUUUGCAAUAAAUAUUAACAGAAAUAAAUAGUUAAACUUAAAAUAUAAAUAAAAAAAAAAAAGUUUUAAAAAAUUCUUUAAAGAAAAAUCUGAAGCUGCAUAAAAAUUGUUAGAAAUAAAGCUAAAUUUUUAGUGAAACAGUUGCGGCAGGAAAAGAUUAAUUUCCGUGAGUAUAUAUAUUUUUAAAAUAAUUAAAAA
rnacentral:lncRNA from 1 species